GUGAAUAAUGAUGAUAACUUUGACCUUAGGCGGGCUUAUAAGAAGUCUUGGAGGCCUCUGUAAAGCUCACAGUGAUAGGAAUGUCAUAGUUACACUGAGUGCAU